rnacentral:rRNA from 1 species
UACGUAGGGUGCAAGCGUUGUCCGGAAUUAUUUGGGCGUAAAGAGCUUGUAGGCGGUUUUGUCGCGUCUGCUGUGAAAUUUUCGGGGCUCAACCCCGAACUUGCAGUGGGUACGGGCAGACUAGAGUGUGGUAGGGGGAGACUGGAAUUCCUGGUGUAGCGGUGAAAUGCGCAGAUAUCAGGAGGAACACCGAUGGCGAAGGCAGGUCUCUGGGCCACUACUGACGCUGAGAAGCGAAAGCAUGGGGAGCGAACAGG